rnacentral:tRNA from 6 species
GGGGCCAUAGCUCAGCUGGGAGAGCGCUACAAUGGCAUUGUAGAGGUCAUCGGUUCGAUCCCGAUUGGCUCCACCA